rnacentral:rRNA from 2 species
UAUCACUUACAGAUGGGCCCGCGGCGCAUUAGCUAGUUGGUGAGGUAACGGCUCACCAAGGCGACGAUGCGUAGCCGACCUGAGAGGGUGAUCGGCCACACUGGGACUGAGACACGGCCCAGACUCCUACGGGAGGCAGCAGUAGGGAAUCUUCCGCAAUGGACGAAAGUCUGACGGAGCAACGCCGCGUGAGCGAUGAAGGCCUUCGGGUCGUAAAGCUCUGUUGUUAGGGAAGAAUAAGUGCUAGUUAAAUAAGCUGGCACCUUGACGGUACCUAACCAGAAAGCCACGGCUAACUACGUGCCAGCAGCCGCGGUAAUACGUAGGUGGCAAGCGUUGUCCGGAAUUAUUGGGCGUAAAGCGCGCGCAGGCGGUUUCUUAAGUCUGAUGUGAAAGCCCCCGGCUCAACCGGGGAGGGUCAUUGGAAACUGGGAAACUUGAGUGCAGAAGAGGAAAGUGGAAUUCCAAGUGUAGCGGUGAAAUGCGUAGAGAUUUGGAGGAACACCAGUGGCGAAGGCGACUUUCUGGUCUGUAACUGACGCUGAGGCGCGAAAGCGUGGGGAGCAAACAGGAUUAGAUACCCUGGUAGUCCACGCUGUAAACGAUGAGUGCUAAGUGUUAGAGGGUUUCCGCCCUUUAGUGCUGAAGUUAACGCAUUAAGCACUCCGCCUGGGGAGUACGGUCGCAAGACUGAAACUCAAAGGAAUUGACGGGGGCCCGCACAAGUGGUGGAGCAUGUGGUUUAAUUCGAAGCAACGCGAAGAACCUUACCAGGUCUUGACAUCCUCUGACAACCCUAGAGAUAGGGCUUUCCCUUCGGGGACAGAGUGACAGGUGGUGCAUGGUUGUCGUCAGCUCGUGUCGUGAGAUGUUGGGUUAAGUCCCGCAACGAGCGCAACCCUUGAUCUUAGUUGCCAGCAUUUAGUUGGGCACUCUAAGGUGACUGCCGGUGACAAACCGGAGGAAGGUGGGGAUGACGUCAAAUCAUCAUGCCCCUUAUGACCUGGGCUACACACGUGCUACAAUGGAUAGUACAAAGGGUUGCAAGACCGCGAGGUGGAGCUAAUCCCAUAAAACUAUUCUCAGUUCGGAUUGUAGGCUGCAACUCGCCUACAUGAAGCCGGAAUCACUAGUAAUCGCGGAUCAGCAUGCCGCGGUGAAUACGUUCCC